GAGCCGGUCUGGGCGGGGCCGUCGCCGGCCUGUCACCGGUCCUGUCUUUCCUGGGACGUCAGGCUCCCUUGGUGAAUCAGCACUGUUCCUAAGGUCACUGUAUUGCUGUAUUACAGAAAAUGUUGAGUUAGACUUGUCAAGGAGAUGCUUGCGGAGCAUCUCUGGGCGCCAUGCCAAACACCAGGGAUUCUGUGGAGAACAGAAACGACAAGAUCCCCGUCCUCAUGCAGCUCACCUCCAGGAGCGUGGAGUCACACAGUGACGUAGAAGGAGAACGUCAUUGCAGAUGGCAGUAGGUGCUGUGAAGGAAAGCGAAAAGUCUGGUGGGAUAGCGAUGACGUGGCGUCCGGGAGGCUUUAGGUGAUGGAGGAACCUGUCUGGGAGGGGACGUUUUGCUGAGGCCUUAGAGAGGAAGAGCUGGCCCCGGGAAGACCCGUAGGAGGGGCGUUCUGAGAAGAGGGAGCAGCAAGUACAAGAGGCUUGAACUACAAACGAACUUGAUACAUUGGAGGGACAAAGUCAACAGUGACAGUAACAACACAGUGUGGCCAAAGAAAGUGGACAAAGGACAAAGAGCCCGAGACAAAGUCAGCAGCGUGGGCCGCACAGAGACAGUCUCUUUUCGGUACAAAGAGAAGCUAAAAGCAACAUUGAGGUGGGGACAGCUGUGACCUGGAGAGUAUUCAGGGAAAGCCGGACUCCCUUCUACCAGCAUCGCUCUAUGCGGAUGUGGAGAAAACAGGGCAGCUCUGGGCUAGAGAGCCACUGUGACGGUAAAGCCAACAGGGGCAGCAGGUUUGGGGUUAGAACUCUGCACCGCAGAGAAAAGGCACAGCCCUCCUGGCUGCUGUUGGCAGGUCAGGAACCCCAGGGACCAACCCAAACCGCAGUGUCGCAGCUGUCCCAGCAUUUGAAAUCCAGAGGAAAAUGGAGGCAAUACCUCUGAUAUCUUCAUUAAAAAAAAGAAAUGCUAUAUAUCAGAGA